rnacentral:rRNA from 1 species
AUUGAACGCUGGCGGCAGGCUUAACACAUGCAAGUCGAGCGGGGUGAUGGUGCUUGCACUAUCACUUAGCGGCGGACGGGUGAGUAAUGCUUAGGAAUCUGCCUAUUAGUGGGGGACAACAUCUCGAAAGGGAUGCUAAUACCGCAUACGUCCUACGGGAGAAAGCGGGGGAUCACUUGUGACCUUGCGCUAAUAGAUGAGCCUAAGUCGGAUUAGCUAGUUGGGGGGGUAAAGGCCUACCAAGGCGACGAUCUGUAGCGGGUCGGAGAGGAUGAUCCGCCACACUGGGACUGAGACACGGCCCAGACUCCUACGGGAGGCAGCAGUGGGGAAUAUUGGACAAUGGGGGGAACCCUGAUCCAGCCAUGCCGCGUGUGUGAAGAAGGCCUUAUGGUUGUAAAGCACUUUAAGCGAGGAGGAGGCUCUUUUGGUUAAUACCCAAGAUGAGUGGACGUUACUCGCAGAAUAAGCACCGGCUAACUCUGUGCCAGCCGCCGCGGUAA